GACGUAGGGCGCGAGCGUUGUCCGGAUUUAUUGGGCGUAAAGCGCGCGCAGGCGGCUCGGAAAGUCGGGUGUGAAAACUCGGGGCUCAACCCCGGGCGUGCAUCCGAUACUGCCGGGCUUGAGGCAGGUAGGGGAGAUCGGAAUUCCUGGUGUAGCGGUGAAAUGCGCAGAUAUCAGGAGGAACACCGGUGGCGAAGGCGGAUCUCUGGGCCUGUCCUGACGCUGAGGCGCGAAAGCUAGGGGAGCGAACAGG
rnacentral:rRNA from 1 species